AAGCAAUUAGUUUAAUUAAAACAUUUGACCUCGGCUCAAAAACCUGUGGUGAAAUCCCACAAUCGCUUA
rnacentral:tRNA from 1 species